rnacentral:rRNA from 1 species
UACGUAGGGUGCGAGCGUUAAUCGGAUUUACUGGGCGUAAAGCGUGCGCAGGCGGCUCGUUAAGACAGGUGUGAAAUCCCUGGGCUCAACCUAGGAAUUGCGCUUGUAACUGCAGGGCUAGAGUACGGUAGAGGGGGGUGGAAUUCCUGGUGUAGCAGUGAAAUGCGUAGAGAUCAGGAGGAACACCGAUGGCGAAGGCAGCCCCCUGGGCCUGUACUGACGCUCAGGCACGAAAGCGUGGGGAGCAAACAGG